UGCUAAUACCGGAUAACAACAGAUGAUGCCUAUCAACUGUUUAAAAGAUGGUUCUGCUAUCACUCUUGGAUGGACCUGCGGUGCAUUAGCUAGUUGGUAGGGUAACGGCCUACCAAGGCGAUGAUGCAUAGCCGAGUUGAGAGACUGAUCGGCCACAUUGGGACUGAGACACGGCCCAAACUCCUACGGGAGGCAGCAGCU
rnacentral:rRNA from 1 species